rnacentral:misc_RNA from 1 species
CAGACAUUGUUGGCGACCACUCUGGAGGUCGCGGUUGCGCACAGCUGCGGAAGUU